GGACUACACGGGUAUCUAAUCCUGUUUGCUCCCCACGCUUUCGUGCCUGAACGUCGGUGCUGGACCAGGAAGCCGCUUUCGCCACUGGUGUUCCUUCAGAUAUCUACGCAUUUCACCGCUACACCUGAAAUUCCGCUUCCCUCUUCCGCACCCUAGCUACGCAGUCUCGAAUGGCAUUCCCAGGUUGAGCCCGGGGCUUUCACACCCGACUUACAUAACCGUCUACGCACGCUUUACGCCCAGUAAUUCCGAUUAACGCUUGCACCCUCUGUAUUACCGCGGCGGCUGGCAC
rnacentral:rRNA from 1 species